rnacentral:lncRNA from 1 species
GCUGGGAUGUGCUUGUAAUCGCGGGGUCAUAAGGUCGGGGGGAGCAGCCUUGUCGUGCCACAUUAGGACACCCAAUCGUCACCCCGAGUCGUUAGUUGAGAUAGUCGGCGGUUCAGUGUGUGGUAAGCGAGACGAACCCCGACCACUGAUCGCCCGUUUCAGGACCUAGACCGAACAUCCGUCGUUAGGCCGCAAACCG